rnacentral:rRNA from 1 species
AGCAGCCGCGGUAAUUCCAGCUCCAAUAGCGUAUAUUAAAGUUGUUGCAGUUAAAAAGCUCGUAGUUGAAUUUCGGGGUUAGUAGGUUGGUCAUGCCUCUGGUAUGCACUGGCCUCACUGAUUCCUCUUCCUGAUGAGCCGUAAUGCCAUUAAUUUGGNGUUGCGGGGAAUUUGGACUGUUACUUUGAAAAAUUGAGUGUUUAAAGCAAGCUAACGCUUGAUACAUUAGCAUGGAAUAAUGAAAUAGGACGUUCGAUCCUAUUUUGUUGGUUUCUAGGAUUGACGUAAUGAUUAAUAGGAUAGUUGGGGGCAGUUAGUAUUCAAUUGUCAGA